rnacentral:misc_RNA from 1 species
CAAGCCGUGGAUUUGGACCGUGCCGUAGUUGGCUCGUCCUGAAAUGCAUUAGCUUGUGCUUAUUAGAGUGCUUGGCAUUGGUGUGAUAAUUAUCUGCGCUGUCGCCUUAUGCCUCUUCGGAAGUGCUGCUUCUAAUCGUCCGCAUGGACAACAUUUUAAACUUUGGCCUGAAAUCAGGUAGGACUACCCGCUGAACUUAA